rnacentral:rRNA from 1 species
AUGGCCAGGAAGGGCGGAGAGAGGAAGAAGGCGGUGACCCGGUCCACCAAGGCCGGCCUCCAGUUCCCCGUCGGCCGCAUCGGGCGCUUCCUCAAGAAGGGCCGCUACGCGCAGCGCGUCGGCUCCGGCGCCCCCGUCUACCUCGCCGCCGUCCUCGAGUACCUCGCCGCCGAGGUGCUGGAGCUCGCCGGCAACGCCGCCAAGGACAACAAGAAGACCCGCAUCGUGCCGCGCCACCUGCUCCUCGCCAUCCGCAACGACCAGGAGCUCGGCAAGCUGCUCGCCGGCGUCACCAUCGCGCACGGCGGCGUGCUCCCCAACAUCAACCCCGUGCUGCUCCCCAAGAAGGCCCUCGAGAAGGCCGAGAAGGAGUCCCAGUCGCCCAAGUCGCCCAAGAGGAAGGCCCCCGCUCCCGCCCCCGCCGCCAAGAAGACCCCCAAGAAGAAGGCCGCCGACAAGAAGACCGCCGCCGCUGACAAGAAGAAGGCCGCCGCCGACGCCGAGGAGGAGGCCGCCGCCGACGAGUAG